rnacentral:rRNA from 1 species
AUUGAACGCUGGCGGCAGGCCUAACACCUGCAAGUCGAACGAGUGGCGGACGGGUGAGUAAUGUCUGGGAAACUGCACGAAGGAGGGGGAUAACUACUGGAAACGGUAGCUAAUAGCGCAGACCAUCGGAUGUGCCAGGAUGGGAUUAGCCAGUAGGUGGGGUAACGGCUCACCUAGGCGACGAUCCCUAGCUGGUCUGAGAGGAUGACCAGCCACCCUGGAACUGAGACACGGUCCAGACUCCUACGGGAGGCAGCAGUGGGGAAUCUUGCACAAUGGGCGCAAGCCUUAUGCAGCCAUGCCGCGUGUAUGAAGAAGGCCUUCGGGUUGUAAAGUACUUUCAUCGAGGAGGCGUUACUCGCAGAAGAAGCACCGGCUAACUCCGUGCCAGCAGCCGCGGUAAUUC